rnacentral:rRNA from 1 species
UACGUAGGGGGCAAGCGUUGUCCGGAAUUAUUGGGCGUAAAGAGCGUGUAGGCGGUCCGGUAAGUCCGCUGUGAAAGUCCAGGGCUCAACCCUGGAAUGCCGGUGGAUACUGCCAGGCUAGAGUCCGGAAGAGGCGAGUGGAAUUCCUGGUGUAGCGGUGAAAUGCGCAGAUAUCAGGAGGAACACCGAUGGCGAAGGCAGCUCGCUGGGACGGUACUGACGCUGAGACGCGAAAGCGUGGGGAGCAAACAGG